rnacentral:tRNA from 1 species
AGGGGUAUGGCUCAGUGGUAGGCAGAGUGCCCACUUAGCAUGCACAAGGUCCUGGGUUCAAUCCCCAGUACCUCCA